AAGCUCAAGUUCUAUUAUUUCUAGCAUUUAAAAUAUAUUGUUAUAUUGUUUCAAAGGCUAUUUUAAAUGAUUUGCUAUAAACACAAUUACUUAGAAAUUAAGGGAAAAAUGAUUUACUAUUCUUUUGUGUGUUAAAAAUCUGAAGGUGAUUUUAAUACUCCGCAUUUUUAGGUUUGAGCCAGCAGCCAGCAGUUGAAAUUGACAUGUGAGAGUUCUUCUAAGUCCCAGAUGCUAGCUGCCAACUGCCUUUUUGUUCUUGUUUCCUUGGAAACGGAGGUUGGUUUUAUGAAAACAAGAAUAUUUUGUUCCAGGAAGUCUCCACCUGUAAGAUUAUAUUCAACUUCUAAAGGCUAACUCCUUCAUGUGAUGUAAUGAGCACUGGGGAUUAUGUAAGACUGAUUAAUCACUGAUCUCUAACCUCUGAAACCAGUAAUACAUUGAACAUUAACUAGCUGAAUUUAAAUAAAAUUUAAAAAGUUAAUAAAAGCUAACUCA
rnacentral:lncRNA from 1 species